rnacentral:rRNA from 1 species
AUUGAACGCUGGCGGCAGGCCUAACACAUGCAAGUCGAACGGUAACAGGAAGAAGCUUGCUUCUUUGCUGUCGAGUGGCGGACGGGUGAGUAAUGUCUGGGAAACUGCCUGAUGGAGGGGGAUAACUACUGGAAACGGUAGCUAAUACCGCAUAACGUCGCAAGACCAAAGAGGGGGACCUUCGGGCCUCUUGCCAUCGGAUGUGCCCAGAUGGGAUUAGCUAGUAGGUGGGGUAACGGCUCACCUAGGCGACGAUCCCUAGCUGGUCUGAGAGGAUGACCAGCCACACUGGAACUGAGACACGGUCCAGACUCCUACGGGAGGCAGCAGUGGGGAAUAUUGCACAAUGGGCGCAAGCCUGAUGCAGCCAUGCCGCGUGUAUGAAGAAGGCCUUCGGGUUGUAAAGUACUUUCAGCGGGGAGGAAGGGAGUAAAGUUAAUACCUUUACUCAUUGACGUUACCCGCAGAAGAAGCACCGGCUAACUCCGUG